UGGUGCCAGCAGCCGCGGUAAUUCCAGCUCCAAUAGCGUAUAUUAAAGUUGUUGCAGUUAAAAAGCUCGUAGUUGAAUUUCGGGGUUAGUAGGUUGGUCAUGCCUCUGGUAUGUACUGGUCUCACUGAUUCCUCCUUCCUGAUGAACCGUAAUGCCAUUAAUUUGGUGUUGCGGGGAAUUUGGACUGUUACUUUGAAAAAAUUAGAGUGUUUAAAGCAAGCUAACGCUUGAAUACAUUAGCAUGGAAUAAUGAAAUAGGACGUUCGAUCCUAUUUUGUUGGUUUCUAGGAUUGACGUAAUGAUUAAUAGGGAUAGUUGGGGGCAUUAGUAUUCAAUUGUCAGAGGUGAAAUUCUUGGAUUUAUUGAAGACUAACUACUGCGAAAGCAUUUGCCAAGGAUGUUUUCAUUAAUCAAGAACGAAAGUUAGGGGAUCGAAGACGAUCAGAUACCGUCGUAGUCUUAACCAUAAACUAUGCCGACUAGGAU
rnacentral:rRNA from 1 species